rnacentral:rRNA from 1 species
UACGUAGGGUGCGAGCGUUGCCCGGAAUUAUUGGGCGUAAAGGGCUCGUAGGCGGUCUGUCGCGUCGGGAGUGAAAACUCAGGGCUUAACCCUGAGCCUGCUUCCGAUACGGGCAGACUAGAGGUAUGCAGGGGGAGAACGGAAUUCCUGGUGUAGCGGUGGAAUGCGCAGAUAUCAGGAGGAACACCGGUGGCGAAGGCGGUUCUCUGGGCAUUACCUGACGCUGAGGAGCGAAAGUGUGGGGAGCGAACAGG